rnacentral:lncRNA from 1 species
UUUCUGUUUGGUUGCCGCCCUGACGGCCAGAACUAAAACACCUUGCAAGGAAUGAGGUUGGUUCUUGAAGUCCGUGCUGACUGGCUGGGCGCAUUUGCACAUUUGCUUCUCAGGCUGCGAAAUGGUCCGCAACAGCGCUCACUAGUUUGUUGCUAAGUUCAGCAACUGUGCGGACAGGUCUCUGAGGCUUCUGGGCGCCUCAGAACCUGUCACAGCCGACGGAAGCGUUUAUCUGAGUUUCUUGUUUCUUCCCAACCUUUUGAUUUUCGCACCAUUGCGCGCUCAACUAUGCCUCUUCUUUUGUGCUAUGGUCUCUACUAAUUAAAGGAAGAAAAGCAA